rnacentral:rRNA from 1 species
CCUACGGGAGGCAGCAGUGAGGAAUAUUGGUCAAUGGACGAGAGUCUGACCCAGCCAAGUCGCGUGAAGGAUGACUGCCCUAUGGGUUGUAAACUUCUUUUAUAAAGGAAUAAAACGAGCCACGUGUGCCUUUUUGCAUGUACUUUAUGACUAAGGAUCGGCUAACUCCGUGCCAGCAGCCGCGGUAAUACGGAGGAUCCGAGCGUUAUCCGGAUUUAUUGGGUUUAAAGGGAGCGUAGAUGGGUUGUUAAGUCAGUUGUGAAAGUUUGCGGCUCAACCGUAAAAUUGCAAUUGAUACUGGCAGUCUUGAGUACAGUUGAGGUAGGCGGAAUUCGUGGUGUAGCGGUGAAAUGCUUAGAUAUCACGAAGAACCCUGAUGGCGAAGGCAGCUUACUAAACUAUGACUGACAUUGAUGCUCGAAAGUGUGGGUAUCAAACAGGAUUAGAUACCCGAGUAGUC